rnacentral:rRNA from 1 species
CCUACGGGAGGCAGCAGUAGGGAAUCUUCCACAAUGGGCGCAAGCCUGAUGGAGCAACGCCGCGUGAGUGAUGAAGGCCUUCGGGUUGUAAAACUCUGUCUUCUGUGACGAAACAGCCUGUGAGUGGAAAGCUCAGGCCUUGACGGUAACAGAGGAGGAAGCCACGGCUAACUACGUGCCRGCAGCCGCGGUAAUACGUAGGUGGCAAGCGUUGUCCGGAAUCACUGGGCGUAAAGCGCGCGCAGGCGGCGAUCUACGUCUGGGGUGAAAGCCCGGAGCUCAACUCCGGGACUGCCUUGGAUACGGGAUCGCUUGAGGAUUGGAGAGGCAAGGGGAAUUCCACGUGUAGCGGUGAAAUGCGUAGAUAUGUGGAGGAACACCUGUGGCGAAGGCGCCUUGCUGGCCAAUUUCUGACGCUGAGGCGCGAAAGCGUGGGGAGCAAACAGGAUUAGAUACCCUGGUAGUCCACGCCGUAAACGAUGAGUGCUAGGUGUUGGGGGGUACCACCCUCAGUGCCGAAGCUAACGCAUUAAGCACUCCGCCUGGGGAGUACGGUCGCAAGACUGAAACUCAAAUGAAUUGACGGGG